UCUCUGUGGAGCGCGGUGUCCAAGUCCCUUGGAACAGGGUGCCUGAGAGGGUGAGAGCCCCGUAGGGUGCUGCGCGAAGCUUUUGAGGCCCUGCUGACGAGUCGAGUUGUUUGGGAAUGCAGCUCCAAGCGGGUGGUAAAUUCCAUCUAAGGCUAAAUAUUGGCGAGAGACCGAUAGCGAACAAGUACUGUGAAGGAAAGAUGAAAAGCACUUUGAAAAGAGAGUGAAACAGCACGUGAAAUUGUUGAAAGGGAAGGGUAUUGGGCUCGACAUGGGGGGUGCGCACCGCUGUCUCUUGUAGGCGGCGCUCUGGGCGCCCUCUGGGCCAGCAUCGGUUCCUGCUGCGGGAGAAGGGGCUCCGGAAAGUGGCUCUUCGGAGUGUUAUAGCCGGGGCCAGAUGCCGCGUGUGGGGACCGAGGACUGCGGCUUCUGUCUCGGAUGCUGGCAUAACGGCG
rnacentral:rRNA from 1 species